GUAGGGAAUAUUGGACAAUGGGGGCAACCCUGAUCCAGCGACGCCGCGUGAGUGAUGAAGGCCUUCGGGUCGUAAAGCUCUGUUGCAGGGGAAGAACACAAUGACGGUACCCUGCUAGAAAGGAUCGGCUAACUUCGUGCCAGCAGCCGCGGUAAGACGAGGGAUCCUAGCGUUGUUCGGAAUUAUUGGGCGUAAAGCGGGUGCAGGUGGCUUGGUAAGUCAGAUGUGAAAGCCUGGGGCUUAACCCCAGAAGUGCAUUUGAUACUGCUGAGCUUGAGUGCUGGAGAGGCUAGUAGAAUUCCUGGUGUAGUGGUGAAAUACGUAGAUAUCAGGAGGAAUACCGGAGGCGAAGGCGGAUAGCUGGCCAGACACUGACACUCAGACCCGAAAGCGUGGGGAUCAAACAGGAUUAGAUACCCGGGUAGUCC
rnacentral:rRNA from 1 species